rnacentral:rRNA from 1 species
UACGGAGAGUGCGAGCGUUGUUCGGAAUUAUUGGGCGUAAAGGGCGUGCAGGCGGGUAUGCAGGUCAGGUGUGAAAUCCCUCGGCUCAACCGAGGAAGUGCAUCUGAAACCGUGUAUCUUGAGUACGAGAGAGGCAGAUGGAAUUCCCAGUGUAGAGGUGAAAUUCAUAGAUAUUGGGAAGAACACCGGUGGCGAAAGCGGUCUGCUGGCUCGAUACUGACGCUGAGACGCGAAAGCGUGGGGAGCAAACAGG